rnacentral:rRNA from 1 species
UACGGAGGGUGCAAGCGUUAUCCGGAUUCACUGGGUUUAAAGGGUGCGUAGGAGGGCAGGUAAGUCAGUGGUGAAAUCUCCAAGCUUAACUUGGAAACUGCCGUUGAUACUAUCUGUCUUGAAUACCGUGGAGAUGAGCGGAAUAUGUCAUGUAGCGGUGAAAUGCUUAGAUAUGACAUAGAACACCAAUUGCGUAGGCAGCUUACUACACGAUCAUUGACGCUGAGGCACGAAAGCGUGGGGAGCAAACAGG